CUCUCUGCCUUCUCUCUAGUUUAUCUCUCUACUUGUAAAGAACCUCUUCUGUAAUAAUUUUUCCAAGUUUGAAAUAAAAUCAAAAAGGUCAUUUGGCCACAACUAGAGAUUUCUCUGCUGGUACUGUUCUUCUCAUUCCCUCUUCCAUAUCUGAAAUAUUGUUAGCCUAAAUGACAGGUUAAACAGAUGCAGAAGUGGCAGUGGAGGACGCCUCUUUGAAUUUGAGGCACAUGGAAAAUAACUAUGGUUAAUUGUAGGAGUAAUAAGAAUGACAAUAAUGUACUGGUCGAAAGCAGAUACAUAAGGCAAUGGAUUGGCUAGCCAUCAUUCGAAUUUAAUGGAUGCUGGGGAUUUGUGUAGAGAAAAAGACUUGUAUCCACAACAAGUGUUAUUAAUACAUUUUUCAUGCCUAUAUCCAUGGCUUUUGGCUUCAAUUUAUUAACGUAGUUGGAAUAGUAUUGGAGAAACACUUGUAAGUUUCAGUAGUGAUGUUGAUAUAUUUGCAGAGCACAGGCACUGUUGUCAGGGAGGCAAAAAACUUGAGUGUGGAGAGAAUGGCAGCCACCAUAAUCGGCAAUAGGAGAAGCUGCAAUUGCAGGUGGGGAGGACGAUGUUUUAAAGCGCCUUCAGUUUACAGAUAUAAAGCAUUAACUAUUUGUAUUGCUACUUCUAUACGAAAACAUUGAUUUGAUGCAUCUUUCUAAAUGUGAUUGAUGGAUGAA